rnacentral:misc_RNA from 1 species
AACUGAUACUACCUGCGGGAACCUGCGGAGGGAUCAUUACCGAGUUUACAACUCCCAAACCCCUGUGAACAUACCAAUUGUUGCCUCGGCGGAUCAGCCCGCUCCCGGUAAAACGGGACGGCCCGCCAGAGGACCCCUAAACUCUGUUUCUAUAUGUAACUUCUGAGUAAAACCAUAAAUAAAUCAAAACUUUUAACAAUGGAUCUCU